AUAUUUUCUAAUCAAUGGUAUUUUUUUGACAACGUAAUCAAUGGUAUUUUUAAUUCAUCAUGUGGAUUAAAUUUCAAUUAUGUAAUUUUUUUUCCAGUGUCCUAUACAAACUAAUGGCAUUGACUGUGGCUAUUUUGUCAUGCGAUUUAUGAAAGAGAUAAUAUUGGCAAAUCAAGACAUGAUCCCCGAAAAUUACUUUGGAGAUUACAAAUGUAAAACCUAUUCUAAAGAUAAGCUAGUUGAGGUCGAGGAGGAUUGGGCAACCUUUAUGGUCGAGUAUCUUAGAGACUAUAUUGCUCAGAGACUUACACUCUAAUUGGUUGUGCUGGACUAUAUAGCUCGUCCCGAGUCCUUUAAAAUUUAGGUGUUUUUUUGUUUGUAAUUGUGGCUGCUUUUAUGAGCUUUUUUUUUAUUGGAAACUUUGGUUUGACUAGUAUUAUGACA